rnacentral:rRNA from 1 species
ACACGCAUGACACACUGCAUAUCAAUAAGCGGAGGAAAAGAAACUAACAAGGAUUCCCUUAGUAACGGCGAGUGAAGCGGGAAGAGCUCAAAUUUGAAAUCUUCAAGGUUCUACCUUGACGAAUUGUAGUCUAUAGAAGUGUUUUCCUGUUAGUAGAGUGGCAAAAGUUCUUUGGAAUAGGACAUCAUAGAGGGUGAGAAUCCCGUAUUUGGUCAUUCUUUCUAGCUUUGUGAUACACUUUCAACGAGUCGGAUUGUUUGGGAAUGCAGUCCAAAAUGGGUGGUAAAUUUCAUCUAAAGCUAAAUAUUGGCGAGAGACCGAUAGCGAACAAGUACCGUGAGGGAAAGAUGAAAAGAACUUUGAAAAGAGAGUUAAACAGUACGUGAAAUUGUCAAAAGGGAAGCGUUUGACACCAGUGUUGUUUUUCCGAAAAUCAAUUACGAAUGUUUUGUUUUUGAGGAGUUAUGACUUCAUCGGCUUGCUCCUUUCUUUACGAAACUUUCUUAAUGCACUUUUCGGUUAACAAGUCAACAUCAAUUUCUUUUGUUGUAAAAGGGUAUGAGGAAGGUGGCUUUCUUUUCGGAGAAAGUGUUUAUAGCCUUGUAGCCUCUGCAAUCGGAGAGAUUGAGGUCUGCAGCGUAGAUCCUUCGGGGUUAGAUACGUUUGUGCUAAGUUAUAGCUUUUCAUAGACAACUUGUUGACUAUGUUAGUCUUGCUAGCUUACUCGCUUAUGCUACUUUACCUACGCUUAGGAUGUUGACGCGCGUGUGUGCGUG